GAUGAACGCUAGCGGCAGGCCUAAUACAUGCAAGUCGGACGGUAGCACAGAGAGCUUGCUCUCGGGUGACGAGUGGCGGACGGGUGAGUAAUGUUUGGGAAACUGCCCGAUGGAGGGGGAUAACUACUGGAAACGGUAGCUAAUACCGCAUAACGUCGCAAGACCAAAGUGGGGGACCUUCGGGCCUCACACCAUCAGAUGUGCCCAGAUGGGAUUAGCUAGUAGGUGGGGUAAUGGCUCACCUAGGCGACGAUCCCUAGCUGGUCUGAGAGGAGGACCAGCAAAGCUGGAACUGAGAAACGGUCCAGACUCCUACGGGAGGCAGCAGUGGGGAAUAUUGCACAAUGGGCGCAAGCCUGAUGCAGCCAUGCCGCGUGUAUGAAGAAGGCCUUCGGGUUGUAAAGUACUUUCAGCGGGGAGGAAGGCGGUGAAGUUAAUAGCUUCACCGAUUGACGUUACCCGCAGAAGGAGCACCGGCUAACUCCGUGCCAGCAGCCGCGGUAA
rnacentral:rRNA from 1 species